UUAGUCCUUAGUCCCAGAGGCAUUGCAGGUGUGGCUGCUGUGUCACAUGUGCAUCAGUAGGUGGCAGAGAGGAGAGGGGCCAUGUCUGUGUUCAGUGUUCUGACCUGUGAGCAUCUGAAUGUUAGUAGCCUAUUAUU
ensembl:snoRNA Gm23272 small nucleolar RNA SNORA17